AUAGAUGACAUUUUUAUGAUCUGGAGGGGAGACCAUUCUACUUUUUUAGAAUUUUUUAAUUUUCUAAAUUCCAAUGAGUGGAAUGUUAAGUUGACUCAAGAAUAUAGCCAACAAAAAAUCCACUUUUUGGAUCUAGAAAUUUCCACCAAAGGAAACGCUAUUAAUACAUGCACUUUCUUCAAACCAGUGGAUGUUAAUGGAUACAUCCACAAAGAGAGUUGCCAUUUCCAACCAUGGCUAGACAAUAUACCAAAAGGCCAGUUUCUA